UAUGGCCACAUCACAUGGAAACACAGGUUCCUGUAGGAUCACUGAAGUUAAGCAACAUAGAGCCUGGCCAGUACCUAGAUGGGUGACCACUUGAGGAUACCAGA